rnacentral:ncRNA from 1 species
UAGGUGGAUUCCGAAAAACCUGUAAAUAGAGUAGGAU